rnacentral:lncRNA from 1 species
UAAAGAACUACCUGAGACUGGGUACUUAUGAAACAAAGAGAUUUAAUUGACUCACAGUUCAGCAGGCUGUACAGAAAGCAUGGCUAGGGAGUCCUCAGGAAAUGUACAGUCACGGUGGAAGGCAAAGGGGAAGUAGGCACAUCUUCCCAUGGCAGAGCAGGAGAGAGAGAAAGAGAGAGAGACAGAGAGAGAGAGAGAAGAGGGGAGGUGCUAUACACUUUCAAACAAUCAUAUCUCAUGAGAAUUCUAUCACAAGACAGCACUAGGGGGAUGGUGCUAAACCAUUAGAAACCACCCCCAUGAUCCAAUCACCUCCCACCAGGCCCCACCUCCAUCACUGCGAAUUAUAAUUCGACAUGAGAUUUGGGAGAUGACACAAAACCAAACCAUAUCAGUCUUUAAAGAGUUAAGUUAAAAUAAGCUCUUUAAAGUGGGCCCUAAUCCAGUAUGACUGGUGUUCUUAUAAGAAGAGGAGAUUUGGUCACAGACAUGGUUGCAUGCAGAAUAAAGACUUUUCGAGGACACACUGAGAAGGCAGCCAUCUGCAAAACAAGGAAAGAGUCCUCAGCAGAAACCAGUCCUGCAGACUCCUUGAUCUUGGACUUCCAGCCACUGCAAUUGGGAGUGACCUACAAAAUGCAUAAUGUGAAACAAUGCAAAAGCGAAAGGUGCAAAAUCCCCAUCAAAGAGCUGGAGGCUGACAGAUGCGCCAGUGAUAAUUCCCAUCUUCCAACACAGGAGCACAGCUUCCAUUUUCCAUAACAGAACAACAGCCAGAGCAGCUGGAAGGCAGGGCCGCAUCCCAGACUUCCACCAACAAUGGGAUGAGACUUGACAUCUGGAAUCACAACCACAACAGACCUGAGAGACCCACCAGCUUGAUGACAAGCUUCUUCUUUCAAAGAAAGGUAUCAGUCUGGGGGACCUAGUGCUGCAAACCAUGACAAAUUAAGUGUGGCAUCCCUCACUUGCAUAAUGGAACUCAGUGAUAUUUUUUAAUUAACAAGAGUUAUUUUUAUGUAAGCUUCUCUCAUUCCUCCACUGUGCGUGCUCGGGGGCUGGUGGUGAGGAAAAAGAAAACAGCUGUGCGGGAAGCAUCAAGAAAAGGCAAGUCAUGAAGUCUUAGAGAUCAGUGACAUGUAAGAAAAAGAGUGAGGAGAAAAAUAUUCCUACUAAAGUUUUCCAUUUGUUUACCUUCCUUGUCACAUAGACUUCCAAGAGUUAGAAGUCUAGGAUUUGAUCUCCAAAUCUUCCUGGCAGAUUACUCAUCUUCAUUUCAUUCAUAUAGUCCAGGGGUUUGUACAAAGGAAGAUGCCAGUUCUUCCCCAAUCAUAACUAAGAUAUCAAGAGAUAUUCUUUUGAAAUGUAACAAAGGAGAUCUGAAGUUCAUCUGAAAAAAAUAAAUGGUUUUAGGCGGUCAUGACCAUGGGAUGCUGGACCAGGAUGGUAAGCUUCAGGAAACAGAAUCUGGAGAAUGCCCAGCUGCUCCCACAGGAAGCAUCAGGGAAGAAGAAGAAGAGGUGUGAAGUCUGCCUUCUGCUCUGCUGGGAUCCCUUUCACAUCUCCUUUGCCUCCAGGCAGUUUUGGUUCCUGGCCAUUUCCAGGUGUGACUCACUCAGGAUGGUAAGCAUCUUCUCUCCUACCCAGAGUAGAGGAUGAAGACCUCAUCUCAGAGGUUGAAGGGAGCUCCAGAGAGAGGUCUCAAACUUCCAGCAUUAACUGCUAAAGAAGCUUCAUGAGCUGCUGGAGAACCUGGGAAAUGACCAAUUAUAGGGACAGAGCUCAAAUACUCUGGGACACUCUAGUAGCUGAGAAAGUUCCAACUCCAGGGUGAUAGAGGACUGCCUGGCAAACCAUCAUCAAAGCAGAAGACCUGAUACUAACAUCACAGGCUAUGGUUUAUUACUGAAGAUCAGUGCUUACACCCUGCCAGAGGUUCAGAAGCAAACUUAUCAUUGUUCUCCCUGGAGAUGUUGGCCCACAUUCUGAAAAGUGUGGUCAGUAGUAGCAACAGAAAGCAAUUGUGCUUGCCAAGCACAAUGUCACUGUCCCCAGCCCUUCCCCCAACACAACCCAGUAGGUGCUUCCUGGCUGCAAACUUGGGAAAGUCACUUGACCUGUCUGAGGUUCCACUUCCUAAUCUGGCCUGGCGAAGAUAAGAAAAACAGUUUAUUUAAAGUGUCUAGCAAAGUGCUUGGACCAAAAUAGGACCUCUGAAAUGGUUAUGGUAGUGCUGUUAAGGUGAUGUUUUAAGUGCUGAUGAGCACAAAGAUGGGUAAGAUAUUCCUUCUGUUAAAAUCUACAGUCUAAUGAGAGAGAACAAGAUGAAUGCACAAUAACUGUCAUUCAGAACAGGAUUAUGAGAAGGUGUGAAUUUCUGUGAAAAAUCAGAACAGGGAGUAAUAUGAUCCCAGGUGAUUGGCAGGGGGUGGGGGUCUGGAUUCAACUGGAGAGGGAGCUGGCAGGGAAGGCUUCCUGGAGGAUGAGAGUUCAACAAGGGGCAGGUGUAGGAUGUGGGUGGCCAAGUGACUGGGCAGAAGGAGCUGCAGAAGUAAGACCCCAAAUCAGGAAGACAAGGGCCUGCUGAGAAACACGAGCUACAAAGUGCAAGUGCAGGAAGAGUUGGGAUGAGAUUAGAAGGGGGUCUGGGGCCAGACUGUGGAAGGCCCAAAUGCCGGGCUAAGGAGUUUGUACUUAAUUCAGUGGUCAACGGGGAGUCAUUGGAGGCUGUUGAGCAGGAGAGUUGCUUUCUUUACAGCUGUGCCAGACUAAAUUAAACCUAAACAGUACUUUAUAGCUGGAAAGGGAAGGCCCAGGAAUAGCUCUUGACUCAGAAACAGGCAUUGGGGAAGGUAAUGAGAAACAGCCGUGACUGAUCAAAGCAGAGAGGUUAAUUAAAUUUGUAAUUAUUGUGAAAGGCCAUUAAAAACCCUAGUUCACUAGAGAUAACUGCUCUAGUGGGGCUUCAAAGACAAACGCUUCUUUUAACCUUGAAUAGGGGGAUGUUUGCUUCUCUGUGGAGGAGAUAUGAUUAAGAUACUUAAUAAAUGGUAGAUAAACAUGCACACGUGUGUGUUCUCUGUAAACCCACUCUUCGUCCCUGCAUAUAUCUGUGUAGCUAUGUAGGGUGCUCCACAAGAGGGGUCCCCAGCCCCCAGGCCAUAGAGCGUUAUGGGUCCAUGACCUAUUAGGAACCAGGCCACACAGCAGGAGUUGAGCAGAGGGCAAGCAAGCAAAGCUUCAUCUGUAUUUACAGUC